ACACAUGCAGUCGAGCGGUAACAGAUCCAGCUUGCUGGAUGCUGACGAGCGGCGGACGGGUGAGUAAUGCAUAGGAAUCUGCCCGAUAGUGGGGGAUAACCUGGGGAAACCCAGGCUAAUACCGCAUACGUCCUACGGGAGAAAGGGGGCUCCGGCUCCCGCUAUGGGAUGAGCCUAUGUCGGAUUAGCUAGUUGGUGAGGUAACGGCUCACCAAGGCCACGAUCCGUAGCUGGUCUGAGAGGAUGAUCAGCCACAUCGGGACUGAGACACGGCCCGAACUCCUACGGGAGGCAGCAGUGGGGAAUAUUGGACAAUGGGGGAAACCCUGAUCCAGCCAUGCCGCGUGUGUGAAGAAGGCCCUCGGGUUGUAAAGCACUUUCAGCGAGGAAGAACGCCUAGCGGUUAAUACCCGCUAGGAAAGACAUCACUCGCAGAAGAAGCACCGGCUAACUCCGUGCCAGCAGCCGCGGUAAUACGGAGGGUGCAAGCGUUAAUCGGAAUUACUGGGCGUAAAGCGCGCGUAGGUGGCUUGAUAAGCCGGUUGUGAAAGCCCCGGGCUCAACCUGGGAACGGCAUCCGGAACUGUCAAGCUAGAGUGCAGGAGAGGAAGGUAGAAUUCCCGGUGUAGCGGUGAAAUGCGUAGAGAUCGGGAGGAAUACCAGUGGCGAAGGCGGCCUUCUGGACUGACACUGACACUGAGGUGCGAAAGCGUGGGUAGCAAACAGGAUUAGAUACCCUGGUAGUCCACGCCGUAAACGAUGUCGACCAGCCGUUGGGUGCCUAGCGCACUUUGUGGCGAAGUUAACGCGAUAAGUCGACCGCCUGGGGAGUACGGCCGCAAGG
rnacentral:rRNA from 1 species